CUGAAACUCUAAAAAAAAAUUCUUUUUUUCAUUUUUUCAUUUUUUAUUUUUAUUUUAUUUUAUUUAUUUUUGUUUGUUUAUUUAAUUUUAAAACCAAAGAUAUUAGGGAUAUUUUACUCUUUAAUGAAUGUCAUUUUUGUGACUUUAUCUUUCUAGUGCUAUUUUUGAGACAAAUACUCAAAAUGUGCUAUUAUUGACAAUUGCCCAUACUAGUAUUACCCAUGUGUUUCGCACAGGUUAGUUUACUGUUUUUAAUUUUUUUUUGAUCAAUGUCAUAAUUUACAAUCAGAAUACAUUACUAUUUAAAAUAUUAUAUGAAUAGUGGCAAAUAAAUAAUAGAGGUUCCUACAUUAAAAUAAAGAAGGGAUAAACAUAUAUCAUUAUAAAAUGGAUACAUGUUUGCAAAGCUUUUUAAAAUACAAAAAAUAUAAUAUAAUUUAAAUAUUUUAUUUGAUCCAUUAAUUUUUUGUGAUGAUUGUAUAAUAACAGUUAAUUUAAUUUAUGUAAAUUUAAGUAUGAUGAAUCUAAUAAAUUUGCUAUUUUAUUUUUUACAGUUAAAAAUAAGUGGUGCAUUUAUAUUUUAUGUUAGUUUACCAAAACGUCUUCUUUGUAAAAGGACACAUUUGAAAUUAACCCACAUUACUUAUUUUGGUAGUUUGUUAAAUUUAUAAGAUUAAAUUUACAACUUUAAUUUGCUUUUUAUUAAAUUGUAAUGAAUUAUCUAGAGUAAUUUUUUUGUAACACUAUCUAGUAGUAAUUAAGUAACCUAAACUGAACUUUGGAUUCAGAGAUGCACUCUCCAUGAUACAUCCAACAAUAGUUUUAGGGUCGAACUCAAUUGGUGUGAAAGCUAAAAAAUAAUUGAUUCAACGGAGGAAAUAUUUAUCAACAAAUAAAAAAAAGUUAAGAAUGAAAAACAGGCAAAACUUUUUUUGCCAGGCCAAAACAUGAUGCUCCAUUUAAUCCCUUUUCAUGAGAAUAAUUUUGAUUGUGCUCCAUCCCAUCUCUCCAAAAUGUGACCUAGAGUGCCUGUAAAUCAAUUGAUAUAGGAAGUUUAUAAGUCAUAUACUGCAGUGAAUAGUGAUCUAAAAUUGUUUCUCUUUAAAAAUAUCAUACCAGGAUAUCUCUUCCCAUAAUUCCAUUGUACUUAAAGUCUUGUCGAUUGAUGUUAUUUAGACAAUGAAUAAAUAAAGUUUUGAAUUGAUACAGAGAAAAAGAAAGAAGACAGGAAGAAACUUGUCCAUGUCAAAACUGAAAUUUAAGAGAAAAAAAAAGGAGUAAUUAGUAGAUAAGAAUCAUAUAGAAGAAGAAAACAGUUUGACAAAUCGUGGUCAAAUGAUUUUGAACGUGGGUGGAUGCAAUAUCCUUGGGAUAUAUGUGUUGAAAUUUAGGAAUUGAAGAAACUUUUUAAAAUCAAUUUUUUUAUAUAAAAUUUUAUAUUUUCUAUAUGUCAAAUUUUGACUUGUCAAGUGACUUGUGCUUUAAUAUAUAAAGGAUUUUAUUAUAUUUUUUUUGUUCUGCAAAUUCAUUAUGAAUGGAUAACAUAUGCAAAUAAAACUGCAUGACUAAAUCUCCUGCAUUUCUCCUGUCGCUCACCUGCAUCACAUUCACACCCAUAAGCAUUCUAGUUGCACCGUAAGAAAUGAUAAGAUGUUUUUCCAUCAUUCGAUAAUAAUAGAUUCCAAUAUCCGGUAAAAUAAAGAUUAUUUUGAUAAAUGAAAAACAAAUGUUCAUUUCGUUCUUUUAAGACAUAAAACUGUUGACAAAAAAAAAAGACAUAAAACUGAAGAGGAUGUGUCAGCGUCUCUCUUUCUAAUAAUUAAUAGUGGGGCAACAUAGACCCACAAAUAUUGAUUUGACCAAUUAUUUUUUAUGUUAUCUAUUUAAUUUUUUUUUCUUGGUCAAAAUUUGAGUUUUAACUUAACAAUUCUCUAUAUAUUAAUCUUGGAACAUUAAAACAUGUUUUCAUAGCUACAUGUCAUCACUAUAAUGAUUCUUAGAAUCUUUAAGAAAAAUGAUCCAUAAAAAUAUAUAUUGUAUUUUUUAUUAAACUAACUAUCAAAUUGAUUAGUAGUGUACAAAAGAAUAUCCUCAAUUUUCUUCUUAAAUAUAAACUACGAAAUUAACUAAUAUAAUUAACAUAUAUAUGACAAUUAUGAUUAUAAAUAAAAAUAUUUGAUAACAAUUUUUGUAUCUGAUAUCUAUUUUUUGUUUAUUUAAUAUUAUUAAAAAAUUAAGAAAUCACAUUAAGCAUAUUAAAAAAUUAGAUUUUUUCUUAUAUGUUAUAUUUUGAAUUUUUUAAAACGACUGUAAAUAACUAAAAAUGAUAAAAGUCUCAUUGAUCACUAAAUUUUAAAGUAUGUACUAUAUAAACUAAUAUAUAUUCUUGGAUGUUCUGCAGGCUACUUAAGCUGAGAAGUAAAGCUCUUCAGUUUUUGAAAAUCAAACUGGGAAAUGGGGAUUCAACCUUCUUCUGGUGGGAUCCUUGAACACCAUUUGGCAGUCUCUAUUCUUACCUUGGACAGGAUGGUCCGUCUAGGCUUGGAAUCCCAUUGUUUGCAACAGUGGCAGAAGUUAGAAAUGGUACUAACUGGUACCUUCCUCCUGCUCGUUCAGAGAGACAACUUCUAUUACAUGCUUAUAUUACUACAGUACCUACGGUUGUGAACUCUGAUUCUCCAGUCUAGUUAGUUUCAGGCUCAGUUCAUAAAUCGUUUGUCUCAAAGGCAGUUUGGAAUGAGAUAAGACCUGUGAAGCAGGUUGUCUCGUGGGCCUCUCUGGUUUGGCACAAAGCUAUUGUUCCGAGGCACACAACAAAUGCUUGGCUUUUUGUACUCAAUCGGAAUCCUACUCUCGAUAGAAUUCACAACUGGGAUGCAGAAUCACUGACUACUUGCCUUCUCUGCGGGCUAGAAAAUGAAUCACAUGAUCAUCUGUUCUUUGAAUGUCAGUACUCCCUGCAGGUCUGGCUCAGAAUUAUAAACAGGCUUUCUCUUCCAACUCCUCCAUCGGCUUGGACAGCAAUUUUACUCUGGCUUCCUCAUGCCCAUGGGGACGGCUUCAGACGUUUGGCAUUACUACAGGGUUGGCAGGCUGCUAUAUAUUUCUUAUGGCAAGAACGCAAUGCUCGUAUGCACUCCAGUCUAACUCUCUCCCUUCUGGCUGUGGCACGCAGAGCUUUGGAUAUUCUUUUGGACAAUUGCCAUGCUCUGUGCUCUCUUGGCUCCUCUCGUGGUCCUCCCCAGCUGCAAAUUUGGCAGCCUCCACAACAGAAUGUACCUUCUAUUUUCUCCAUCUGAAUGUUGAUUAUCACUUCAUGAUCCUUCCCCCUCUUCUUUCUAGUUUGUAAAAGGCUGGCAGCCUAAUGCCACAUUAGUAUUAAUGAAAAUCCUUUAUCAAAAAUAAAAAAGAGGAGUAGAGUUUUUGGAAUGUGAAAUUUAGGAUUUUAAUAAAUAUAUAAAUUAAAAAAUUUUAAAAAUAGUUUCAAUAAUAAUUUUUUUAUUUUACAAAAAUAAAUUUUGAAAGAAAUUCAAAAAAAAAGAAAAAGUUAUAAUAAAGUUUGAAUUUAAAAAGUAUAAUUAGAAAACAUAUAAAAGUAUUUUUUAUAAUUUUUAUUUAUUUAAAUAAUUAUUUAUUAUAUAUGUAGAGAGAACAUGAUAUUAUGGUCUUUUGCCUCUUAAUGAAAAAUGUAUUUUUGAAAAUGUCUCUUUAGUGGUAGUAAACAUGUAUAAUGGUACCAAGAAAGUGUUAAACAUGAAAAUUCCCCUUGAAAAAUCUCGCAUUAAAUUUUUUGUUACAACAAAUAUACAAUUUAAUACAAUCUUAUAAGUACGAAGUGUCAAUAAAAAAUAUUGAUAUUAAAAUAUACUAUAUAAUAUAUAUAUAUAUGUCAAUAUCACUAAAGUUUAUUUAUAUACCAUAUAAAGUAAAUAAAAUUAUUGUUUUGAUUUAUUACCAGAAACAUGAUUGUAAAUUAAAAAAGGUAUUAGUUUUUAUUUAUGUGCUUACUCUAAUGUAUAUACUUUUAUGUAUACAAAUUAUUUUUUAAAUAGGUGGUUUCUAAUAUGUUAUUUGAUUCUGACAAUCCCAAAGAUACACUUCUUCGAAUUGAAGCGACUUUUAAUACUGGAAGCUCUAUAUAUAAAUAUAUAUUAGUUCUUCUAGAUUAAAUAAUUUAGUCUUGAUUUUUAUUCGUAUAUUUUUUGAUGAAAUAUCAUGACAAGAUUUGAGUCACCUCCUUUUGAGUUUGUUCGAAGAAUGAGAGAUUUGAUCAUUCGUCUAAUAUUUGCUUCUCCCUAAUACUUUGUCUAGCUAUUAUAAUUGUAAGAAUGAUAGAUUUGAACUAUUUAUUAUAAGUUUUUUGGUUUAUCAUUUAGUAAAUUACCAGUUCUUAGUUUAUACAUAGUUUACAUAUACUAGAAUAGUAAAGUAUUAUGUAUAUAUUUUAUCGGUAUACUCUUAAGUAACUAAACCUCAAAAGCAUAGGUUAAUAAAAUAAGUAAUUGGUUUUGUUGUUCUACAAUUAGAUGAUUUUAUGCCUGACUGGUUAAUAUAUACUAGGUAUACAUUUAUAUUUUGAGUAUGUACUUAUAUUCUAUAAUAGCUUGAUAUAUUAUAUUUGAAUACUAAUCUGUGAAUAGAGUUUGCCGGUGAUUUUCUUCAAAAAUUCUAUUCUUAGAUAUGUAUUUGGAAUGGAACUAAUUUUUAUAGAUGUCUAUCUUUUUUAAUUUACGUAAUUUUUCAAAUUCAUAGAAGAAGUUAAAAAAAAAUCAAUGAAACAGAAACGAAAACGAAAGCAUAAUUUUAUAGAGGUAGAAAAUGAAAUUAUUUAUACAGAGUCAAUAGUAAACAAAUCGAGAGCAGAAAGUCUAAUCCCUUUUCGUUAUUUUACAAUCGAUGUUGCUUAUCUGGUUGUGGUGAUUUGUGUCAGCCACAAAACUUAAUUUUUUGUGUGUAUAUGAUGUCUUAAAAAUAAUUAAAAUAAGAUGUAAAACGUUAACUUUUCAACAACGAUGAUAUAUUUAAAAGACCAACAUUUGUAUUCAUUAUUUUACAAUCAGUAAAAAAAUUAGUGUUGUAAAAUGUUAAAAUCAUUUAAUAAAUAAACAUUAGUAUAAAAAAUUCACUCCGCACAUGCGCACGUGGAUUAUCAUUUAGUAGGUUCGUUAUUUUAAAACAAUGUAAAUUAUAUAUAUUCGAUUUCUCCUUCUUUUUACAACAAAAUGAUAUAAUUUGAAGGUUAACAUAAUAAAUUUUGGAAAGUUCAUCCACAAGUUUUAUAUGCUAGUUAAUAUUUGGGCUUAUGGCCUUUAUUAUGUCAUCCCUCAAAUUAUAUCAUUUAAGUAAACAGCACAUCAAGUAUAAAUAUGAAUUAGGGCCUAAUAUGAAUAACCUUUAAUACAGUUUUCAGUUUUUAUCAAAUACAUGAACUAUGAACAUGUCAAGUUCUGUUUCGUUUGGAGUUAAAUUUUUGGCAAAUAUAUGUUUCAGUUUUUCUCUUAUCUUUUGGGCCUAAAACUUAAAAUCUCCUUUGACGAGUGAAGAAAAUUGCUCUUUUUUUUUUUUGCGGGGUUCAAAUUGUUCUUCUGUGUUUAUCAAAGUUCAAAAUAAGAUUCGUAAAUUUACUUAUUGUUUCAGUAUAUUAAUUAUUUUCUUAUAAUUUUAACAUUAAUGUCUGCAAGGAAAAUUUAAAAGCUAAAAUAUUGCCCCAUCUAAAUUGGACAUUAGGUCCCCAAAUGUUGGGCAUGCCUUAUAUGUUUUAUUACUUUCGAUGACCAAAAAGUGUGAUAAAUCUCAUGGGUCCCAAACUUCCUUAAACAAUUUUCAGAUGUUGAGGUUAUUACAAAUUAAACAAAAUUUUCUUCUUCCUGUUAAUAUGUUUACGAAUAUCUACAAUCUAAAUAGUAAAUUUACAUAUGAAUGUUUAACUCAAUUCAUUAGCGAUUUUAUUUAUUAAUACUCCAUAUAUUUUAUAAACAGUGUCAUUUUGAUAGUUUUUUCUUUUUAUAUAAAAAUGUUAUUUUAGAAUUCUAAUGCAAUUUGUAUAUAUAUAAUAUUAAUUAUAAAAUCUAUUUAUCUUAAAAUAAGUUUAUUUACUUUAGAUUUUAUUGAGUAAUUAUAUACAAUUUAUAAAAAUAUGAAAUUAAUCAUUUUUAUAUCAAAUAUUAUGUCAAAAGAACACUUUCAUAAAAUGGAGGGAGUAAAGAAAAGAAGAAAAAUCGUCGUCACAUUCUACGUACGGUCAUACCGUCAUACGAAGGAUAGGUAUAUGCUUUUCUUCUUCUUUUUUGACUGAAUUUUUAUAUACGUUUCUUCGUCUUCAAGUAAAUAAAAGCUAACAUAUAUAGUAGAUUAGUACUGUACGUAGUCCUUAAUUAUGUAUUGGCGACAAAAUAAUUUGAACCGUUGUUUUAAUAUUGUGGAGAUUUGAUACUUAUAACUAUUUUUAGAAAAUGGUAAAUUAUUGUGCCUUCUAGUGUAAUUGUUUGUAUGUUUUUCGAAAGGUCGUCCAACGUAUGUUUUUCAAAUGUAUCUUUGCAUUUUGAAUUUGAUAAUUCGAUAGUAUUCAAUCAACUUAUAAGAUUUGAAUUCAUUGCUGUAAGGAAAAAGCUUAAGUUUAUGUUGGAGGUAGAUCCUACUCCACUCCAGACCCCAUUCAAAGAUUUGGUCCAUUAAUGUAAGACUUACUAAGAAAACAAAGAAAAACGAAAGCCUAUGAGCUUAAAAGGGAGGCAACACCGACCUGACUAGUUCACUCAAAACGUAAAGGAGAUCAGUGUAUUAAAUGAUGUGUCAAUGGUGUUAGAUACACACUAGAUAUCAAACUUUUGUUUGACGAACGAAUGUCUAAUAUAUAAAGAGAUAACCAACUUUUACUAGUACAAAAUGUUUUGGAAAAAAAACCGAAAAUAAAGCAUGCAGGUUUGCUAGAGGUUCAAAAUGGACAAUAUCGUACUAUAAAAAAAUAUAAUUAAAUGACAUUAUAGUUUCUGUCUAAAAAAUAUUAGUUAGUUUAUGUAUGUUAAUUAUGAACAAGAAUAAAAAUCAACUAUAACCUAUAUAUUGAUAAACUAUUUUAUUUAAUUAUUAGUGUAAUUAUAUAUUUUAAUAUUAUACAGAAAAUAAUGUGCAUAAAAACGUUAUACAGAAAAAAAUAUGGAAUCAUUAAUAUGUAAAUUAAAUAUAUAUAUAUAUAUAUAUAUAUAAGUGUUAGUGAAAUUUAAUAAAAUUUAUUAUAUAUAUAUGUCAUUUAUAUAUUUGUAUAAGAAAAUUCAUGUUACAGUUUUAUAUUAAAAACAAAAAAUAAUAUUUUCAAUCACAAAAAUUAAAAUUAGAAAAUAUAAUGAUACAUGAUUAAAUACUAAUCAAGAAAAAGGAACAAUUAAAAAUAUUUUUUAUAUUAAGUUAUUAGAUUAUAUAACUGAUUAUAAAUUAAUAUAAUAAAAUUGGCUAAGUAAAAUUGUAUUUUAAAAAUAAAUAAGAAAAAUCUUAUACAUUAUGUUGUUAUCCAAAAAAAAAUAUUUCAGUGAUAAAAAUUAAAAUUAGAAAACUUAACGAUGCAUGAUUAAAUAAAACCUAAGAAAAAAGAAUAAUUGACGAACACAAUAACAUUAUAUAUGAUUUUUAAACGCAAAUUUUUUAACAUAUUCACAAAUGUAUGUUUUUGAUGAAAAAAAUUGUUAUAACAUACAUAAUAAGAUGUUUGAUUAAAUUUUUUCGUUAUAACAUUAUAUAUGAUUUUUAGUUGUGUCAUUAAGAUGGAUUAGUUGUUACCCCGAUACAAGGCUCGUGGAUUUAGUUUCUGGGCAUAGAAAAAUUUUGGGAUCCCAAUGAUUAUCAAAAAAAUAUUAAAAUUUAAAAUGCAUGUAUCUAUCUAUCUAUUUGAUAACAUUAUUUGCGAACUGAUUUUAAGUUUCGGAACUCUCAUGUUAAAAGUUAGAUCGAAUAAAGUCUCCCUUGAUGAAUUAUUAAAUAUAUAUUUAUUAAUCAAGAAAUAGAGAUAUAAAUCUGCAUAAAUAUUAAUUACUAAUCAUCAACGUAAAUUAGGUAUAACAUAUAUCUUUAGUUAUUAUUUUCUUUCAGAAAAGCAUUACGAUUAUGAGAUCAACUAAUCCAAUUUUCUUAUAAUAAUUUAUUAUAUUAAUUUAUCUCUCCUUCCCGGCGAAGAUUUACUAUAUUCAUCUCUCCUUUCCGGCAAAGAUUUGGAAUUCGGACGAAUAGACUCUCCAAAAGAUUUGGUUGAACUCCUUCAUCUGCAGCCGGAUCAACUGAGUGUCCUUAAUUCACGCAGUUGCAUUUUUCUGUGUUUUAGAGAUUGUACUAUCGGAGAAACAUUAAAAUAUAUAAAGGUUUGGUGAUGGCUGAAAAAAAUUGAAAAUGAACCUUCCAACAGAAAAAAAAAAUAGCAGAAACUAUCAAAACAUAGAUAAUAAAUUCUGAAAAGAUAGACAGAUAGUGGAAAAACAACAAUUAUACGAAGAAAACAAAUCAUGUAAAAAAUGAUAACUGGAUUACCACGAUAUUUAUAUGCUAUGUAACUGAGGUUGGUUUGUGAGUGUUCACAUGUAAGAGUUGUUGGACAUUCUUGGCGCUUCCCAGUCGAAAGCCAAGGUUUCUAGUCUCGGGCCUAGGUUGUCUCAUAUGCUUAACUUUUGAGGAAAAGUGAGUUGGUAUGGCUCAUUUGCUCUGUUUUGUUUUGGCCAUGUAUUUUUUGUCGUUCUCAUUACUAGUUGAAAUCGAUUUAGUUCCUUCUUCAGCCCCUAAAUUUCUGGUGGAGAGGUCACAGAAAUUUUAGAUGUUGACUUCAAUUGGUUCAGUUUCAAUGUCUUAUGGUUCUUUAGUUAUUUUGUGAGAGUGCUUUGAUUUAGCAGUUCAGGAUUUUUUUUUUGUUUCGUCCAGCUGAUUCCUUUCUUUUUGUCUUAAAAUUUUUCUUUUUGUUUGCGUUUCGUAUGACUGAUAAAUAAUAAUACUUAUUAGUACUUACCCACUUCCCAAUCAAACCCAACAUGUAUACUGGGAGAGUUGAUGUCGCCAAAGAAUUUUUUAUUGUUUGGUAGGGGCCAUAAUGAUAUGGAAGUGAUCUUCUUCUUAACUAAUUGUUAUUAUAAAGUCCAUGACAGUUUCUUUACACUGAGAAAUAAACCGCUCUCCAAUCUAGUUUUUUAGAUUUUUGUAUUUUUAAAAAAAUUCCAUCAACCGAAAGAGCUUUUUUUUGGGUUGAUUUAUUUCUUUUUCGAGCUUUUUCAACCGUCAAAGAAACGACGUCUCUAGUCUCAGCUAUUUGCCUAGUUCAAUCGAUAGUGUUCUACUCUCUCGCUUUUCUCUUUUUGUUUGAACAUCUUGCCUUGAGGAACCAAUAGAGGUGGUGGCUAUUAUCAAAGGUUAAAUAACUGGCACACAAAAAGACAAUAUUAUCAAUAUGCAAGCUUUUUCUCUCUUUUAAGAAACAAAAAUACGUGUCUAGAGUUUAUGGAAAAUUAUAUGAGUAUAUCUCUAAACUAAUCAGGUAAAAGUGCAUUGCAGAAAUUUUUGGUGAUUUGAUAACCAGUCCAUAAAUUUUUAACUUAGUAGUUAGUACAAUAGUGAAUGAAUUACAUGAAGUGAAUACAUCAUUUUUGAAUAUGGAUUCUAAUAGUCCAUAUCUAUACUGAAUCCUCUUUACUAAACUUAAUUGAUAAUUUGAUUGGUUAAAGGGGAAGCUAAUGAUCAAUCUCAUGCUAAAUACUUUUGAUCAUGAGAGUUACUUUUUGACUACAGUAUAACUACCUUAUUGUGAUGAAUUAAACUAUGGAAUUUAAAAUUUAACAAUUGUUUAGUCAGAGAAAUAUUUACUCAAUUGUUUGUGUUUUAGGGAAUAAAUAUAAAGGAACAUCAAGUCAGCAAGAGGUUACAAAAAGAAGGAACAAUAAGUAAUCAAUAGGGUUGUUGUGGAGGACAUUCUUAAUUUGACUAAUUAACUACCAUGAGUUAUUUUCUAAUUCCAACAAUAGUUGACCUAUGGUAAUAAUAACACUCAAGAUGGAUGUACAAAUUAUAUAUUGCAUAAACACUUUGUAAAUGAUAUUUCGUAAGAAUUACUUAUUCAAGGACCCCGCCUUGUAUAAUCAUACUCUUGUAAGUAUGAUUACUUAAGUAUAAUCAAGACUAUAAAGCGCGGAUUAUUUUAUGAUAAAAAAUUUCAUUAAUAAUUAAUAAAUAUUUUGUUAAUUUGUAAGAAUUUUGUUAAUUUGAUUUUUUUUUGCAUUUAAAUCAAUGCUUCUAAAUUUGACCCGUAUCUGCGAUUAAAUCGGUUAAUCCGGUGAUUCGAUAAUUCAAUUUAAGUUUUAAAAAUAUCCAUAUUUAUAAAAAUUACUAUAUCUGAGACUAACCAAUUGAACCGAUGGAUGCCCGAUAUGUUAACAUAUCCAAUUUAAUUUAAAUUGUUAUAGUUUCGUAAUUUGUCACCUUUUAAUCCAAAUUUUAAAGUUUAUUGUUGUACAAUUUUAUUAAAUUAUGACAUUUCUACAAAAAUUGAUAGAGAAAAUAAUAGAUAUAAUUAACAACUAUAAAUGUCUUGAUCAUAUUACUCCAUUUUAUGUAACUUAAUCAAUUUUAUUAUAAUUGUUUUGUGUAAUUUUUCUUGUUAAUCAUUUAUAUUAUAAUCGCUUUAAAUUUUUUGAUAACAAUUAGUAUUAAGCAUUUUUAUUUAGAUAACAUAUAUUUUGAACAUUUUUUCAUAAUUAUUUUUGUUAUUAUAGUUAUUGUACACUGUAUAAUGUUUAUAUAUUUAUUUUUUAUGUAAUGGCUAUUAUUGAAUUGUUAUCUUACUUAAAUAAAUGAUAGAACCAUUAUGUAGUAAAUAUAAAUAAAAUAAUAUGUUAAUUUAAUAGAUUUAUCAUUGAUUGAAAUUUUUUUGUAGUAUUUAAACCUGUAAAAGUAAGUUUUAUUUAUUUUCGUUUUUUUAUAAUUUUUUGAAUAUUUUUUAAUUAUUUAAUUUAUUUAAAUAUUUGGUUAUUAAAAAGAUAAGUUCCAAUAUUUUAUAUUGUUUGGACAUAAAAUUAAUUAUAGUGUUGUUUGGGAAAAUGGAUAGUAGUAUAAAGGAAUGACUAUAUUGUUUGGAAACAUUGAUAGUAGUAUAAAGAAAAGAAUAUUAGUGAUUUAAUGUAGGUUUAACUAUAAUAUAGGAAGAUGUAUUUAAUUUAAAAACUUAUAAAAUAAAUGUUAGGUCCAACACAAUGUUUCUGUUUUAAUAAUAUAGAUAUAUAUGUAUUUAUAUAUUGAGGGAUCGGAUCUGAUAUCCGCUUUCCAAAAUUUUAAUAUUUGUGAUUUGUUUCGAUUUUAACGGAUAUUGAUUUUUAGUAUUUGAUUUGCUUCGAAAGUUUAUGGAUAUCCGGAAAUUUCGGAUCAAAUCAAAACGAAUAACGAAUCGAAUCAAAUUUAACAGAUAAAAUGUCCAGCCCUAAUAUAAUUAGCUAUACCUCGAUUAGAGGAUGACGUUAUAAGUUAUUUAGCAAAAAAAAAAUGACGUUAUAAGUUGGCUAUGUUUGCUUGAUCCGAACUGAUGUAGUUUAAUGUAUGUUAAGGAAAGUGAUACAGUAUUAGUAGAAAUGUCACAUAUAUUCAUAUUUCACUCGCGCCACAACAAAAAAAAAACUAUAAACCAUAAUUUUGACAUAACAUAUAACGUUCAUGAUUCAUCUAUUUUGGUGAAAUUUAGUCCUCUGUUCUCGAAGAAAAAAUAUUGAAAUAGACUAGAUAUGAUAUUACAUUGUACUUCUCUUUAAUUUUGUAAACCUUUUUGGUGUACAUAAAAAAUCAAGAAAGAUGUAGACAAUUGGAAGUUAACCCUUAAUGAAUGAACAUAGUACAUCUAAAACAGAGCUGAAGAAGAAUGGUUCUUGUAGCCUCCGAGGGCAGUGAGUGAUGAUGGUAAGUAAUAAGCUUCCCCUGAAGUCUUGAGAUUGUGUCAAGUGGAGAACUUGACUGGAAGUUUAAGUAUGUUUGUAGAUUUAGGGUUCAAAGCUUAAUAUGGUUAUAAAAUAACAUGUCACAAAUAUGAAAUCCAAACCGUCACGAGCAUUGGAUUGUUCUAUAGUUUUUUUUAUUUCUGUGUAACUAAGAUGUUAAUACUGGGAUCACUACUUUUUUUAUGUAACAAGGAUCACUACUUAUUAAAUAAUAUAUACAGUGGUAUAAUAAUCGGGCGGCUUCAGAUAACAGUUGAAAGAAAACGAGUAGCUAACUGCCAAUACCUUUUUCUUAAUUUAGAGAAAAAUCAAAGAUUUGGGAUUAGAGAGGAAAAGAUCUAUUGAAACCGACACAGACGGUCCAAAUUAUUUCAUUUGUAAUACAAUAAUAAUAAUAAUCUAAUUCAAUUCUAAAAUACAUAAAAUUCAGCUUUUUGGUCCUGUCACUGCAUAUAAAAUCAUAAAAUACCAAGAAAAUCUUUGAACUUUAUUUCAUUGGAUAUACAAAAUAUUAAGUUUAAUGCAUCAGUAAACUUUAAUAUUAACAUGACCAAUAAAAAUGAUGGAAAACGGCAAAAGCUAUAAGUGGUUAUUGAAAAGAGUCGACUGUUGUAGUAUUGUCGGAAAGACACUCCACCAUAUAACUACAAAUCUUAUCACUAGUGGAAACUGUCGAGUGUGGAGUUUUAUUUUUCGAGUGUGGAGUUCUUUUUCUUUCUAAUAAAACAAUAUUAUCUUUCUAAAUUCUUCCAAAAGUAAAUUUUGAUUUUCUAUUGAAAUUAAAAGUUUACAGUAGACUCAGAUCUGCUCAACUGCAAUUCGAAAGCAAAUUUAUCUUCAAAAAUGGACAGAGUUCUACGCUCAUUCUAUUAAAAUCUUAGGAACGAAAUAUGAUUAUAUUUUUUUUUGUAUCUAUAAAUUUAUUCGAACAUUUGAAACCGACUGUUACAUCACUCAGCUGACAAGGAUUACAAACCUUUUAGAGACACAAGCCAGCGAGUUUACAAACUGAUUCUCCCGGAGCCAAGAUAGUAAAAAGAUAGACAAAGUAAAGCUCUCUAAAGAAAAGAUGAUGUUUUAUUAAGAUAUUGUAAGAUGCUUUAUUAAGAUGUUCUAUUAAGAUGUUUUAUUAAGAUGUUUUCCACAAGAUUACUUUUCUACUAUUGUUUGAUAAAAGGACAAGCUCGCCACGAUUCUCUUUUUUUUUUUAGCAAACUCGCCAGGAUUCUACUACGUUUCUUUUCUUUGAUUUCGAAAGCUGUGGGCGUCUUCUUUGUUUUUUUUUGUUCUUUUAAUUUUCAAUCUUUUUUUGUCCUUUUCUACGAAAAUAGCGUGCACUGUAUAGUUUCUUUCAACUUUGUUUUUUGACUAGUGAUGAAUGGACAUAUUGUUGUCCCUAUUAUAUAUAUUUGUGUUUAUUUUAAGGUAGCUUUCGUUAUAAUUUGUGCCUUCUAUAAAAAAAAGUAAAAGAAGAUAUAGAGCAUUUAUUACAAUCUACUUUUUUAUUUUAAAAUUAUAGAGCAAAAUAUUGUGUAAGAGCAUUUUCGAUUUAAAAUUCUAUUUUUCUUCUAAAAUAGAAUAAUUAUAUAAUGAAACUGGUUUUAUUUUAAUUACAUUUUAUUUUGAUGUUGAAAAUUAAAUAGUGACCAAAAAAAUAUUAUUCUAUUUAAGCAGUGUACUCAUACUUAAGCUAAAAAUAAAAUAGAUUUUAGAAUAUUUCUUAUUCCAAAUUCUGUUUUGAAAUGAAAUGAGAUUAAAGAUACUCUAGUAUACUUCUAUUUAUUUUCCAAGAUAAAUAAUAUUGUUUUAAUUAUAUUUAGAGCAUUGCUAUUUUUAUUCAUAUGUUUUCCAUAGGACUCUGUCUUGUAAUAUUAGAUGAAGAAUAUUAUAAAUUCGUUUAAUAUAUCAUAAUUUUAGGAAAUUCUAACAAGCAAUAGAAUAAAAUAAAUUGGUUUUAAAUUUCUAAAUAAAAUGGUGAUAUUGAAAUAUAUUGUAAAUGUUUGCAUUUUUAAAAAAAUUAUAAAUAUAUAAACUUAUGUUUGCAUUUCUGUUUAACCUUGAUAAUAUGUUAAUAGUUUAACAAUGAUGAUAAGUAAAAGAAAAAUGUGUACGUUUUCAAGACUGUUGUGUCAUGCGAGUCUGACUACGAUAUGUUUGCAUCAAAUAUUGUUCGUCUGACGAAAAUGUUCAAAAAAAAAAAAUAUAUAUUGUUCGUCUGGUUGUCGUAGCAAUCAGUUACAAGUAAUUUUUCUUAUAUCCUUAAAUUUUUAGCAUA